AGAGGCUUAGGAUAAUACAAAAGACCAAGGACCUUCAAAGCCCUAAGUGGGAGUGAGAAUCUCCCAGCCUCUG
rnacentral:tRNA from 1 species